GCUGGGUGUGGUGGUGCACACCUGCAGUCCCAGCUACUCUGGAGGCUGAGGCAGGAGAAUCACUUGAAUCUGGGAGGUGGAGGUUGCAGUGAGCCGAGAUCAUGCCACUGCACUCCAGCCUAGGUGACAGAGUGAGACUCUGUCUCAA
rnacentral:SRP_RNA from 1 species